rnacentral:rRNA from 2 species
UGCCCGGUAGCUAAAUGCGGAAAAGAUAAGUGCUGAAAGCAUCUAAGCACGAAACUUGCCCCGAGAUGAGUUCUCCCUGAGACUUAGAGUCUCCUGAAGGAACGUUGAAGACGACGACGUUGAUAGGCCGGGUGUGUAAGCGCAGCGAUGCGUUGAGCUAACCGGUACUAAUGAACCGUGAGGCUUAACCUU